UACGUAGGGUGCAAGCGUUGUCCGGAAUUAUUGGGCGUAAAGAGUUCGUAGGCGGUUCGUCGCGUCGGCUGUGAAAUCCCGAGGCUCAACCUCGGGUCUGCAGUCGAUACGGGCGGACUGGAGUUCGGCAGGGGAGACUGGAAUUCCUGGUGUAGCGGUGAAAUGCGUAGAUAUCCGGAGGAACACCGGUGGCGAAGGCGGCUUCCUGGACCGACACUGACGCUGAGGCGCGAAAGCUAGGGGAGCAAACGGG
rnacentral:rRNA from 1 species